rnacentral:rRNA from 1 species
UACGUAGGGGGCAAGCGUUGUCCGGAAUCAUUGGGCGUAAAGAGCGUGUAGGCGGCUCGGUAAGUCCGCUGUGAAAGUCCAGGGCUCAACCCUGGAAUGCCGGUGGAAACUGUCGAGCUCGAGUCCGGAAGAGGCGAGUGGAAUUCCUGGUGUAGCGGUGAAAUGCUUAGAUAUGACAUAGAACACCAAUUGCGAAGGCAGCUCACUACUCAAUCAUUGACUCUGAGGCACGAAAGCGUGGGGAUCAAACAGG